CCAUUAAACAAAUCAUGUGGUUCAUAGUCUUUUGGAAUUUAUUUGUGGGAGGACGGUGGUAGAGUUUGAAACUGAAGUCUAGAGAAUCCCUAAAAGGUUGUGCAUAAGGUUUAGUAGGUUAUUCUGAUGGAGGCAAACACGGAGGCAGACAGCAGAGGUCUGGUCUGAGAGGUUUCAGAAGUGAAUAGGAUGCUGUUGGUAACUGGGCUAGAGUUCAUUCAUGUAUAAUUCUUAGAGAGUCUGGCUGCAUUCUGUCUGCAUCCUGUGAACUUGGAGGAAGCUGAAUUCAAAAGUAGUGUUUUGUUUGGUGGAGGAAGUCCAGAGACAGCAUUCAGGCUAUGACAUGACUACUGCUCUCUAAUUUCAUCUAGGUGUGCAAUGAGAAAGCAGCAAGUGGACCAGAAAGAUAGGAAAAAAUGCACAGUUUGCUGAGAAAGAAAGGAAAAAUGGGGUUAAAGUUACAAACAAAGCUUGUACUAAGAAAACACUGAUGAUCCCUAAGCAUACUAGCACUGUUAAAGAGAAGCCUCCUGCUCCACAUUAAGACAAUGGAAAAGGUCCCUGGAGGGCAGGAGCCUACCUUUCAAAGAUUCUAACUUGUGAAAAAUGCAAAUUUACUUGAAAGGAGAGAAACUGAACUGCAAACAGUGCCAGGGAGGUAUUCUGCUCAAAAACACCUGCCUGCGAAAGUGUUUUCUCAAUUUUGGCUGAAGACACAGAGAAACGUGGCAAAGGGGGACCAUACUAAAUCUCCAGAUGGCAGCAGAUCUUGGCAGAGUCAUGCACUUGGUGCUGGUUUGGCAAGCAUGCAAAAUCCAAGCGUUCUGGAGGUCAGGAGGCUCACAUUACAAGUCUGUGAAGUCACUGAUAGCAGGCAACGUGUGGCAGCAUCUGAUGCCCUGCAAUGGGAGGCUUGAGAGACCACUGCAUGAAGGUGAAUCUUGUGUUGUAGUAGAAACACUAGGGUGCUGGAGAUGUCAAGACCAAGCAAUGUGUAUUAAGGAUGGGAGAAAACAUACAGUGGAGCAAGUCUAAAAGAGAGGCUAUGCGUGCUUCAGACAGCAGAGCUGGGGUAGGGGUGGGGUUGUGCAAGGCUGUUGAGUCCAGGUCAUUUUUCCACAGACCUCAGAUCCCCAGCAAUGGGAGCUGUUGCUCAUGCGGUUGGACCCUUGCUUUGCCAUGGUCUUCCUUGCUGGAUUCCAUCCCUCCUUCCGGGAACUGGAAAGUUCACUCUGUGAUUUGUUCGUCGGAAGUAUGUGACUUGUGCUUGGGUGUUAUAGAGCCUGACAGUUCAGAGAUUGCCUGGGAGAAAAAAUAUCAAAAAGGUUAAAAUAUUAGGAACAUCUCAAGAGACAUUAGAUGUGUUUUGCACUGUGAGAUGAACACAAGACUUCGAGGACCAGAGGUGGGAUGGUUUGAUUUGCACAUGAUGCAUUUACAUGUCCAGAUGACAAGGAAUGACCUUGUGCUGCUUAAUCGUGGUUGUCAACUUGACACGGUUUACAUCACCUAGGAGAGAAAGCCUCUGGUUCUGCGUAUGAGGAGAUCUCCAAACAGCUUUAACUGAAGGAGGAAGACCUAGAAAUGGAGAUUAUGGGUGUGGAAAAAUGUGACUUUCUGGAGUCCUCAACAGAACAACAAGUUAAGAUGCAGGAAUGUUAUACAGAGCAAACUUCGGAGUGUCCAGCACAGUAAAUAAGAGGUCCUACCUUCAUGGGGUCGCUAGGCAACAUGCAUGCCAGCAAGCACCACUGUGGUAAGUUCUCAGCAAGGUGAAAAACCAGAGGUGAAACAUAAACUAGAAUCUAGGUGUUAGGAUUUAAUGAGUCAAUAUUUGGGCAGGAAAACAGAUAUCCAGAGAGAGGAAGUGACUCUUUUUGUUUGUUUGUUUUACGGUUCUGGGAUUGUAGCUAGUGCCUUUUGCAUCCGAGGCAAUCACUCCACUGCUGUGCCUAUCCCCCAGUUCUAUUUUGUAGUUUUGUUUACACGUUAUUCUAAAAUGUAAAUUUCAAAGACAGUUGAAUUGGAUAACAUCCAAAGGCCUUACAAGUUAUUGACAGGAAGGGAAAUUUUUGGCAAGAAGCUGAAGUCAGACUUAAUUUGAGCUUCUUCAAAAGUGGCAUUUCUUUUGCAACAUAUCAAUGAGAAACUUUUUAAAAGAUGCCCCUCUUUAAGCUUAGCUAAGAACCUCUUGAAUUCC
rnacentral:lncRNA from 1 species